rnacentral:rRNA from 1 species
UCAAUGAUUUUUUAAAUUGCUGUGGUAUUAUGACUAUACGAAGGUAUUGAAAUAAGGUUUUAAUUGAGCGCUAAGAGAAUGGCUUAACAGGGAUUGACUUUAUUGUUUAUUAAUUUAAAAGUUAAUUUAAAAAUGAAAAAGUUUUUAUAAAAUUUUGGGACAAGAAGACCCUAUGAAUUUUUUAAAAAUUUACUUUUUAAAAAUUUUUUAAGAAAAGAAAAUGUAAAUUUUGUUAAUUGGGGCGAUUUUUAAAGAAUGUUUAUCUUUAAAAUUAUUUUAAAAAUGAUCCAGUAAUAUUGAUUAUUUAAAAUAAAUACUCUAGGGAUAACAGCGUAAUUAUUUUGGAUAGUUCAUAUAGAUAAAAUAGUUUGCGACCUCGAUGUUGGAUUAGGAUUCUAAAAAAAUGUAGAAGUUUUUUUUAGAAGUUUGCUCAACUUUUUAAUUCCUACUUGAUCUGAGUUCA